rnacentral:tRNA from 1 species
GGGCCUGUAGCUCAGCUGGUCAGAGCAGCUGACUCAUAAUCAGAAGAUCGUAGGUUCGAAUCCUACCGGGCCCACUA